rnacentral:rRNA from 1 species
GACAGAGGGUGCAAACGUUGCUCGGAAUUACUGGGCGUAAAGCGCGUGUAGGUGGUCACGCAAGUCAGGUGUGAAAGCCCAGGGCUCAGCCCUGGAAGUGCACAUGAUACUACGUGGCUGGAGUACUGAAGAGGAGAGCGGAAUUCCCGGUGUAGAGGUGAAAUUCGUAGAUAUCGGGAGGAACACCAGUGGCGAAGGCGGCUCUCUGGGCAGAUACUGACACUGAGACGCGAAAGCGUGGGUAGCAAACAGG